rnacentral:rRNA from 1 species
GACGAACGCUGGCGGCGUGCCUAAUACAUGCAAGUCGAGCGAGUCUGCCUUGAAGAUCGGAGUGCUUGCACUCUGUGAAACAAGAUACAGGCUAGCGGCGGACGGGUGAGUAACACGUGGGUAACCUGCCCAAGAGAUCGGGAUAACACCUGGAAACAGAUGCUAAUACUGGAUAACAACAGAUGAUGCCUAUCAACUGUUUAAAAGAUGGUUCUGCUAUCACUCUUGGAUGGACCUGCGGUGCAUUAGCUAGUUGGUAGGGUAACGGCAUACCAAGGCGAUGAGGGAUAGCGGCGUUGAGAGAGAGAAUGGCUACAUUGGCAGUGAGAAAGGGCAGACACUCCGACGCUAGGACGCAGUAGGGACUCUUACGGAAUGGACGAAAGGCUGAUGGUGCAACGCGGGGUGAGUGAUGAAGGGUUUCGGCCCGUAAAGUGAUGUUGUUGGUGAAGAAGUAAAGCGGUAGUAACUGAGAUUUUUUUGACGGUAACGAAUUAGAAAGUCACGGCUAACUACGUG